GGAAUCCUGUGUUCUUGCAGCUGUCCACGUAGGUCAGAUCAUGGUGCCCCUGUAAACUUCCAACAAAAGAAAUGUUAUUUUGUAUUCUGCAACUUGUUAUCUUUAUGUGAAUGGAAAUGUGUUAAUGUCCUUAAAAGUCAGAGCCUUGGGAACAGGCUCUCCUCUAUAUUUCAGGCUAUUGGCAACAUUGUUCCACAAAAGGUGCAGAGCUGGCAAGACUGAGCCUAGAAAACAGAGCACAGGGUUAAAGUCAAAGGAACAGAUCUAAUAUGGAGUCGGGUUUGUUCUUUUUUAUCACACAAACAGCCCCCCUGGCCUUUCCAUCCCUGAUGUGCAAAAUCAGGACGUGGUUUUUCCUGCAGUCACUCGCCCACUUACCCCUGUGAAAUGCAGUACAUUAUACUGCCAGGCUCGUUGGCUUUGGGAAGUUCUGCAACUUUUUUGUUUACUAAGCAUUUGGAGCAUUUUGGAAACAGUUGUUUUCAGCUAGCAAAUUGUCCUCUGAGAAAAUUGAAAGUUUGAAAAAGGUUUUAAAGCUUACUCAAAAACUGAAGAAAUGUCAAGACUAAAAAUAUUUAAAGGAUGUAUCUUUCAUGAGCACAUAUGCUAAUGUUAUAUAGGUCCUGCUGACUUAACUACAAUGUAACUUUCUAUUUAUAAAAAGGAAAAUGAAAAAUUGUAUAAUCAAGUGAAAGAUCUCCAUGAACAAUAAAAAUGAAGAGUGAAUGUUCAAGGAAAACCAGAGCUUAUUCAGCAAAUUAGCAUCCUGAAAGAAUAUCAAGAAAGAGAAAACAGGUUUAUUGGAAGACCUCAAAAGACUGAAGCAAGACAAGCAAGCUCUUGAAGCAGACUUGGGAAAAACGAAGAAAGAGAGAGACCAAGCCAGAGAGCAGGUGCCCGCACCACAGGGAGCACACCGAGCUGGGAUGAGUACUUUAUACUUGUAACUGUGCUGAACUUGAGUCAGCAAUAAAUGCAAGAGUUGAAGAAACUCAAAAAUUAUUUUGAAUUCCUGGCAUUGUGUGUGCAGUUGUUUGCAGUCCUCCCAGCUGGACCGCGACCUUCCAGGGCCGGACUCCCUUUUUAUCCCUGGGCCUGAAACAUAAGCUCUCAAGUGUUUGACAAGUGAACAGGUGUUUGUAGAAAACAAGAGGGUGAAUAUGGCGUUCCCCACCGGGGAAAACAAAGGAGGAGUAAGGUAAGAAUGCAGAAAAGUUUAAUAUUU